AUUGAACGCUGGCGGUAUGCCUAACACAUGCAAGUCGAACGGUAGCACAUUACGUGCUUGCUCUUAUGGUUGGGGAGUGGCGGGCGGUAGAGGAGAACAUGCGUAUUUACUUUUUAGUAGUGGAUAACGUAUUGGCUAUUACGCUAUUAGCGCAUACGGGCUACGGGUGAGAGCUUGGGAUCUUCCGACCUUGCGCGGUUCGAUGAGCCGAUGUCGGAUUAGCUGGUUGGCGGGGUAACGGCCCACCAAGGCGACGAUCCGUAGCUGGUCUGAGAGGAUGAUCAGCCACACUGGAACUGAGACACGGUCCAGACUCCUACGGGAGGCAGCAGUGGGGAAUAUUGGACAAUGGGCGCAAGCCUGAUCCAGCCAUACCGCGUGAGUGAAGAAGGCCUUCGGGUUGUAAAGCCCUUUUGUUGGGAAAGAAAAGCAGCAGGUUAAUACCCCGCGGGUCUGACGGUACCUAAAUAAUAAGCACCGGCUAACUUCGUG
rnacentral:rRNA from 1 species